UCAAAAUUGGCGGCCAAAUCCCUAACUCACCCAUGUGAACCCAAAUUCACCCCCACAACAUCCAUGACUCCCACAUCUUGAAUCCCUAGUCGAAACCCCUCAAAACCCUCUGAAAUUCAUCGAAUUGGAAAGGCUAUGGUUCGUUUGUUUCGAGUUUAUUUUGAAGAUCUUGUGAAGUCGAGUGGAUUAUCCAUUAACGUUAUUUGCUUAUUCUAUUUGGAAUGGGCAAGUAACAUUAACGGGGCGUCAAUUCUGUUGCAAAUUUGUUCCGGGCAGAGUUCGGUGUGAGUGUUCCUUAUUAAUUCUUUUAGUUUAGUUAGUUUAUUGCUUAUUUACUCCUCUCGUCGCCCUUCUGAUAAGUUAUGAAUGAUAAUAAUUAGUUUAGUUAGGUCGUUUUUUGGUUUCCAAUCCUUUGUACAUUCUUGAUUGAUAAAGUUUUGAUUCAUCUCUUUUCGUCGUUUCAUAAUUAGUUAAGCUUUAUUUCUUAUUAGUUUAGAUUAUUUUCAAUUUUCAGAUUUGAUUUUUUUUACUCAAUUUUGACUGCUCUUCUCCUCUUUUGAUUCAAAUUAGUUAUUUGGUUUAGUUUCUAAUUAAUUUAGUGUAGAUUAAUUUCAGUCGUCAAGCUUUUAGACAAUUUCAGAUCCUUAAGGGUGCUUUAAGGUUCAGUUAGUAAUUUCUCCAACUGUUAAUAUUAAUUGGUGGCCUAAUAGGGUUGGUUAUAGCUGAAGAAGUUUUUUUGUUAGGUAACUGCAGUCAUGUUCUUAACUGGGGGUUAAGGGGCUGGGUCAGUUAGCAUGAGAUGUAAUUUUCAGAUUGAUAGAAAGGCUUUCUAGGGAUGGAAAAGGGUAGUUUUUGGAAUAAUGGUAAUUCCAAAACAGGGGAAGGGUAACAUAGGAAUUGCAUAGCUAAAAGAGCAUCCUAAAAGCUCCUAGAAUAGGACCUUAGUGCAAUUUUUAAUAAAACUACAGCAAUAACUUGAGGAACAAGUUAUAAAAAUAGGUUUAAAGUGUAAAUAAUCAGGGACUAAAAGAAACAAACAAAAAAUUUGAUCUUUUAAACUAGAGUGGCCUAUAAAUUGAGUCCCUCAUUACUUGUGAAGGGGGCUUCUUCUUUUUCAGCCAAGCUUUGGACACUCUCUGAGAAAACGGCAGAGGUUUUAGCCAUCAAGAUAUAGUCUCUUCUUCUAGUUUUUUUUUAGUUUUUAAAUUUUAGAUUCGAAACACAAAACCCAAAAACAAUAGAAAACAUAAAAAUCAGAAUAUUGUACUGUUUCAUUGCCUAGUUUAGCCCGUUUUUCAAUUCCUAUAUGAAUUUCUCUGCUCCUGCUUGAUCUGUGGGUUUACAAAGGUGUCUGGAGGCAUUUGGUAGCUGGUUGAGUAAAUUUGGGUUGCAUAUUUGAGCAUUUGACAUUGCUUUGGAGAACUGAAUUGAUUUUCAUCCCUAUUGUUAUUGUGUUCACUUCAUUUCUGAAGUGUUACUGUGUUGUUGCAUGACUUUUUCUGCUACUAACCUUCUCUCCUACUUAUUUUUGUUCAUUUCCAGGUAUUUUUCCAGCUUCAUGUGGUAUUGAAAAGCUGAAUCUAUGUAUAUUGGUUAAAAUGAGGAAAUGAAAUCUAGAUCAUGUUAAUUUGAUAUCAAUGUGUGCAAUUUUGUGUUAAUUUCAAUUGUAACUUAACAGUAGUGGUAGUAAAGACUUGGUUGAUUGAAACACUUGAAGAAUUGUGAUAACUGAACUGUAAUAGGACUGUCCAUUUUUAUAUUCAGAUUUGUUGAAUUUGUGCUUAUAAACUCAUGAAUACACUAGCAGAUUAUGCGGUAGCAGAUGCAGCUGAACCUAUUUACUUUUUGCUUGCUGUUGUAGUUUAACGCCAUGAACUAUUCGAUUAAGGUUUGAGUUGUGUGGUAAUUGGCAUGAGGAUUGUAUACUGAUAAUUUCUACAUUAAUGACUAUGGAAU
rnacentral:lncRNA from 1 species